ACUUGUAAUAUAAAGUAUACUAUUCCAACUUCAGCGGGUACAAUUUAGGGGAAAAAACGUGAAUUCAAUUAAUAAUGAUAAUAAAAAAAAAAACUCUAACAACAAAAAUAAAUAUCACUUUUAAACGGCAUCUUGUCUGAUUGAAUUUUGUAAAGGCGCUAUUAACGGACGCCUACAGGCAGGUCCUACUGAGGAUAUAAAACCGCCACACUGGGGGUGGAAGAGCCCUCACUCUGCCGUGGUAGAAACUGGUGCAGCGUGUGUGGAAGACCGAGUGUAAAGUCUACAGGUCUUGUCACUGCUGCUUUCAGAGUGGAAUCUGGUGACGUGAGCGUGGCCUGUGGACGAGCUUCUGCCUUCCUGCAAAUGCUGUUUAAUGUUUAAGAGAUUCAUGACAAAACAAAUGCUGGUAGCUCGUGUAAAUGUAUAGCUUUAACCCUGUUUUUUCUAAUAGAUUGACUACCAUUGGCAUUAAAUGAGAUUUUGAAACCCAUGAAGCUUGCUGUUGGUUUCAGAUUACUUGAUUUGGAAAAUGCUGUUCCUGUUCCCACAAGUCAUUGAAAAUGGUCAAAGCUAAUAGUUUGUUGUACGUUUAACGUUGUGCUUAAUCAAAAAUGUGUAAUUGGCUAAACAAAAAAGUAAAGUGAGAACCCUGUUAAACUUUUAAGUUUAUAUAUAAUUUUUUUAUUUUUUUUUUAAAUGGCUGGUUU
rnacentral:lncRNA from 1 species